rnacentral:rRNA from 1 species
AUGGAGGCCACCGCCGCGUCGACGCGGCCUCUCUUCCUCCUGGCGCCUUCGCCGCCGCUGGUCAGCACGGUGCGGCUCGCCCUUGGCGUGGGGAGGCGCCGGUUCGUGGUCGCGGGGGCCAGGAAGAAGAGGGGGCGGCAGGACGGGGAGGCGGGGGAGGAGAGGGUGGACGCGCACAGCUUCAACCCCAAGGCCGGCGAGGUCACCGGGCCGUUCCCCGAGGCCGUGCUUCUCAGAAAGAAAAAGGUGAAAGAGGACGGUGAAGCUUUGCCAGAAUUCGCGGACGCCGAAGAAGAAAAGCUAUACGAGCUUCUUAACAUUCAGCUAGAGAGUGGUUUAAAUCUGCAAAGAAUGCGACACUAUGAAGUUGUUUACCUCAUUCACGAGGACCGCGUGGAAGAAGUUGAAGACGUUGUAUCAAAAGUACAAGACUUUAUCAGAGAGAAGAAAGGAAGGAUUUGGAGGGUGAACAACUGGGGACUGCGCAGACUUGCUUACAAGAUAAAGAAAGCAACACAUGCCAACUACAUCCUAAUGAACUUUGAGAUACAGGCACAAUCCAUAAACGAGUUCAAGACUCUGCUAGAUAAGGAUGAAAGAAUCAUUAGACACCUUGUGAUGAAACGAGAUGAGGCGAUUACUGAAGAUUGCCCUCCUCCACCAGAGUUCCAUGCUAUGCGAUCUCAACAGUUGGAUGACGAGUAUAUUGAUGAGGAAUAUGGGAGGGUGGACGAUGGGGAUGAUGAGGCUGAACUAGAGUCUUUUGGCAAUGUUGACGAUGACGUUGAAGAUGGCGAUGAACCUGAAAUCAUUCUUGUUGAUGAAGUUGACGAUGACAAUGCCGAAGACCUCAGAAGAAGAAAUAGGAAGGUGAAACUGGAGAAGUAUACCGUGGAGAAGGUCUUGAGGUAG